GACGUAGGGGGCUAGCGUUGUCCGGAAUCAUUGGGCGUAAAGAGCUCGUAGGCGGCUUGUCACGUCGGGUGUGAAAGCCCGGGGCUUAACCCCGGGUCUGCAUUCGAUACGGGCUAGCUAGAGUGUGGUAGGGGAGAUCGGAAUUCCUGGUGUAGCGGUGAAAUGCGCAGAUAUCAGGAGGAACACCGGUGGCGAAGGCGGAUCUCUGGGCCAUUACUGACGCUGAGGAGCGAAAGCGUGGGGAGCGAACAGG
rnacentral:rRNA from 1 species